CACGUAGGCGGUCAAGUCAGUGUGAAGUGAAAGCCCACGGCUCACCCGUGGAAUUGCUUUGCAUACUGCUUGACUAGAGGAAGGUAGGGGAGAGCAGAACUCUUGGAGGAGCGGUGAAAUGCGUAGAUAUCAAGAGGAAUACCAGUGGCGAAGGCGGCUCUCUGGUCCUUUACUGACGCUGAGGUGCGAAAGCUAGGGUAGCGAAC
rnacentral:rRNA from 1 species